UCCUGGCACAGGAACGACCAUAAAGAAGCCGUCGAGAGGUAUCGGAAGAGUUUUCUUUUCUGUUUUAUAGCCGUACUACCAUGGAAGUCUUUCGCAGAGAGAUAUGGUAGAUGGGCUAGAAGAGCAUGACAUAUACUGUUGUGUCGAUAUUUUCUCCUCGGACCUUGAAAAUUUAUGGUGGGGAUACGCAAACUUCUCAACAGGCCGUACCAAUAUCCGCAGCUGGUCUCCAAGGUGAAGAGUCUCUAGUCGAUAGAAUAAUGUAGGUAAGGGAAGUCGGCAAAUUAGAUCCGUAACUUCGGGAUAAGGAUUGGCUCUGAAGAUUGAGAUAGUCGGGCUUGAUUGGGAAACAAUAACAUGGUUUAUGUGCUCGUUCUGGGUAAAUAGAGUUUCUAUCAUUUAUGAUAGUUAUUUGUUCCCCGGAUAGUUAGUUACGUAGCCAAUUGUGGAACUUUCUUGCUAAAAUUUUUAAGAAUACUAAUUUUUAAUUAGUUCUUUUAAAUUAUAACGAUUAUCAAUUAACAAUCAAUUCAGAACUGGCACGGACUUGGGGAAUCCGACUGUCUAAUUAAAACAAAGCAUUGUGAUGGCCCUAGCGGGUGUUGACACAAUGUGAUUUCUGCCCAGUGCUCUGAAUGUCAAAGUGAAGAAAUUCAAGUAAGCGCGGGUCAACGGCGGGAGUAACUAUGAUCUCUCUCGCGGGAGAGAUUCCCUGUGCAGUAUGCGGGCGCCUCUUCAAUACUAGAAGGGGGCUCGGUGUACACAUGUCACAUCAACACAAAGACGAACUAGAUACGCAACGUCAGCGUGAAGAUGUAAAACUCCGAUGGAGCGAGGAAGAAGCGUGGAUGAUGGCGAGAAAGGAGGUGGAGCUCGAAGCAAGUGGUAAUUUGAGAUUUCCUAAUAAGAAGCUAGCGGAAGUAUUUACUCACCGUAGCUCCGAAGCAAUUAAAUGUUUUCGGAAGAGGGGUGAAUAUAAGGCAAAACUGGAGCAGAUCAGAGGGCAAUCUACUCCCACCCCAGAAGCGUUGGACUCUAUUACCUCACAGCCUCGCCCUAGUUUACUCGAGCGAAACCACCAAGUAUCAUCGUCGGAAGCGCAACCAAUCAAUCCAUCAGAAGAACAGUCGAACUGGGAAAUCAUGCGGAUACUACAGGGCUAUCGCCCCGUAGAAUGUAGUCCCCGGUGGAGAGCCCAGGUCUUGCAAACUAUCGUAGAUAGGGCGCAGGCCGUAGGGAAGGAAACCACUCUCCAAUGCUUAUCCAACUAUCUCCUGGAAGUAUUUCCAUUACCAAACGAACCACACACCAUCGGUCGGAGCAAUUUGCGAAGACCUCGAACUAGGAGACA
rnacentral:ncRNA from 1 species